AUGAUCUUACCAGUUUUUGAAUGUUUUUUCUGAGCCCUAAACUCGGUUCUUGUAAGUCGUAACUCUCUCUCUUCCUCUUCCUCUUCCUCUUCCUCGUCCUCUUCGCAGUACGAACUGGUUUGGCUGUGGCUGUAGCUGUAGCAGUAGCAGAUACUCAGUGAACGCUCAAAUGGCCUCUGAAAGCAAAUCCAAGUCCAGCAGCAACAGUACCAAUACCAAUAAGAACACCACGAAGAGGAAGCAAAGAUAUCUCCCUUACAACAGAAGUGUGAAGAAGGGUUCGUACCCAUUACGCCCCGGAGUGCAGGGAUUCUUCAUCACCUGUGAUGGUGGGAGGGAACGCCAAGCCUCUCAUGAAUCCAUUAAUGUUAUCGAUUCUUUCUAUGAAGAGCUAGUCCAUGGGAAGGCUUCAGGCAUAAAACUUGGACAGUUACCUGAUAAACCUGUGAAUAAAAAGACUAAAUUCACAUAUUCUGACUCUUCUAGUAGUGAUGAUGAUGAUGAUGAUGAGAACGAGGACGAUGAUGAUCAGAAGGAAAAGGAAGAGGACAAAGAUAAACCAGGUACUCAUGCAGAAGAUGAUGCAAAUCAUGAAAGUUCCAUACAUGCAGACCCAGAUCCUCAUAAACUGGAAGAAAAUAAGGAUGAUAAUAAAGAGGCUGCUACAUGUCAUAAAAGUCCAGAAGUUGAAGUUGAGGAGCCACCAACAAAGAAACAAUGCCUAGAAACAAAUGCAUCAAAACAUGGAAAUGUCAUAACUAAUAAAGUGGAGGAGAAGUCCAUAGAUAAGUUAAUUGAAGCAGAACUUGAAGAGUUAACUGACAGAAGCAAGAGGCAUUUUAACAACCUUGAUUCAGGGUGCAAUGGUGUUGUAUUUGUUCAAAUGCGUAAGAAAGAUGGAGACCCAAGCCCCAAGGAUAUUGUGCAACACAUGAUGAUGUCAAUUGCCUCAACAAGGAAACAUAUAUCAAGGUUCAUCUUAAGAGUGUUACCUGUUGAAGUCACAUGCUAUGCUUCAGAAGAUGAAAUCACAAGGGCAAUCCAACCACUCAUUUCACAAUACUUUCCUGUGGAAACUCAAACUGCACUCAAGGUGGGAAAAAAAAAGAAGAAACGAGCUUGGGUUGGAAUUGGAUCGUGUUUAUUGUAUGAAGCCCGAGCAAAUACUGGUAUAGAUAGGAUGAAAAUCAUCAAUGCAGUUGCAAAAUCUGUUCCUGCACCUCACAAGGUUGAUCUCAACAAUCCAGAUAAGAACAUAGUGGUUCAAAUUGUCAAGACUGUGUGCUUGAUGGGAGUAGUUGAGAAAUACAAGGAAUUGGCCAAGUACAAUCUGAGGCAGCUAUCAUCCAAACCAUAGUUUCUUCCACACUUUUUUGGGUAUUAUUAUAAUUGGGAGUUGCUUUGUAAUUUUUGUCAGAUGUUAUCAAAUCGUUAUUAGGUUAAAGAUUUUGAUGAAAAAUCAAAAGAUGAAUUAAAGAUCUUGGACUUGAGAGAUGAGGAGCUGUUUUCUUUUAAAUUAUUUAAUAACAUGCUUAUCAUUCUAAAAGUUUAAUGUAACAUGGCUAUGUUUUUAUUACCCCUAUUAAUUCUACUUCUGGAGGCUUGUUAAGCUGUUUGA